rnacentral:lncRNA from 1 species
CACAGGCCCAGGCUGUGGGGAUGCCCGAAGCUGGGAGGAGGCGCAGACAGCAGGAAGGAGAGAAGGAAGGAAGGAGCUUCCUGAGUAUAGAUGCCUACGAAGUCAUAACACGUGGGCUGUUUCUACUGCAACGCCAUAUUCGCUGUUUCUUUCCCACAUGAUUCUCUAUUCACCUGGCCUCAGUUGAACAAAAAACUAUCCUGUACCACCACAAAUAGUUGGCAAUGGCUCUUUGAGAGCAGUUUUUAUGCUGCUGUAGAAAUUAUCCUUGAACCAGAAAAAGUCCCCAACCCAACGUCCAGUCACUCAACACUCCCAUCUUUAUAAAGAGCUGCUACCAAAUUCUGCGUCGAUUUUUGGAAAAAAAAAAUUUUUUUUUGCUCUGGUUAAAAGUGCUUCAUCUAUGAUCUCAAGUCUCUCCCUCGAAUUGGAUGGAGACGGUGAAUCUCAGCCAAAGUGGCCAAAGAACUCGUGUCCCGCGCUCCGGAAUGCUGUCAGCCACUGCACUCCGUCUUCCCUCUUUGCUGCUCCCCAUGAUUUUGGUCUUCUGUUGGUGCUGCAGGGGCCUGUCAGGAAGUGCUGGAGGACGUGGCACUGCUCCAGCACUGGGCAGCCGGCUGCGUGGCUGAUCCCACAGAUCAGGCCCUUCCUGUGCGUGAAGAUGAAGUCCUCCUGGAGGCAGCCCAUGGCCCACUUCUCGGGGUCUCGGAAUGUUGCUCUGGCUGGUCUCAAACUUUUGGCCUCAAGCAAUCCUCCCACCUCAGCCUUCCAAAGUGGUGGAACUACAGGCAUGCACCUCCAUGGCCGGCAAAAUUGAUAACUUUUGUGGUUUGAAGGACACCAUCCAAAAAGUGAAAACAUCUUUUGGGAUUCUUGCGCACCGUUGGUGCGAAUGAAAAAUGCUAUGGCUGCUAGGAAAAAGGGUACGGCCAUUCCUUAAAUAAAUAAUAAAUACAAAGUAAUCAUAUGAUGCAGGAAGUCCGCUUCUGAGCAUACCCUAAAAAACCGAAAGCAGCGGAGUUGCUUGGAGGUUGGCGGCACGGGGCUCAAGGCUAGCAGACGGAGCGAUCACGUCGUACAACCAAACUUGCGAAUCAGAGAAAUCCGACGAUGAGGAGUUUGAGUAUCGGCGUUCCAUGUUGCCCAAGGACAUAGCCGAGCCAGUCCCUAAAACCCAUUUGAUGUCUGAAUCUGAAUGGAGGAAUCUUGGCGCUCAGCAGAAUCAGGAAUGGGUCCAUUAUAUGAUCCAUGAACCAGAACCUCACAUCUUAAUGUUCUGGCGCCCACUACCCAAGAAGCGGAAGAAAUGAAGCUGGCAAGCCACUUUUCAGCCUCAAGCUUUACACAGCUGUCCUUACUUCCUGACAUCUUUCUGAUGACAUCAUGCUGCCUUCUUGUUUCUCGCUUUGAUAUUUAAAAGAUGUUCAAUACACUGUGUGAAUGUGCUGGUAACUGCUUUGCUUCUCGAGUAGAGUUACCACCCCCAUAGUUCAGCCUGAUGAGUGAUCUGUGGACCCACAGCUUCAGCUGGGUGUGACCCCAGAAGCCACGGUGUACUCUGUUUCCAGAACACACUUGGCAGAUGGAGGAAACAUCUGAAAUUAAGACCAUGGCUGUUACAGGGAUCGUGUAAACUUGCUGUUUUUGUUUUUCCUGCCGGGUGUUGUAUGGAGGGUGACGUGUGGAUUUACGUUUCAGUGAACUGGACACUUUUAUUCAAGAAAUCUGAUCAUGUUAAAAGCCUUGAUUAAAGAGGAAGUUUCUAUAAUCUAAAAAAAAAAAAGCCUGAAGGCAGCAACUUAUAUAUUUGUUCAUCCAUAUUUAUAGGCAUAUUAUGAAAGGCGGAAGCAACCUAAGUGUCUAUGAAAGGAUAAAUAAGGCCAGGUGUGGUGGCUCAUGCCUGUAAUCCUAGGACUUUUGGAGGCCAAGGUGGGCAGAAUGCUUGACCCCAGGAGUUCGAGACUAGCCUGGGCAACAUGGUGAAACCCCAUCUCUACUAAAAUUAUGAAAAUUAGCUGGGCAUAGUGUCACAUGCCUGUGAUCCCAGCUACUCAGGAGGCUGAGGCAUGACGAUUGCUUGAGCCCAGGAGGUGGAGUGCAGUGAGCCAAGAC